rnacentral:rRNA from 1 species
GAUUAACGCUGGCGGCGUGCAUAACACAUGCAAGUCGAACGAUGAAACUUAAAUGAUUUCUUCGGAAUGAACUUAAGUGGAUUAGUGGCGGACGGGUGAGUAACGCGUGAGUAACCUGCCUUACACAAGGGGAUAGCCGUUGGAAACGACGAAUAAUACCCUAUGAAACUAUCACUUCGCAUGAAGCGAUAGUCAAAGUGUUAGCGGUGUAAGAUGGACUUGCGUCUGAUUAGCUAGUUGGUGAGAAAAAAGCCCACCAAGGCAACGAUCAGUAGCCGGCUUGAGAGAGUGUACGGCCACAUUGGGACUGAGACACGGCCCAGACUCCGACGGGAGGCAGCAGUGGGGAAUUUUGCACAAUGGGGGAAACCCUGAUGCAGCGACGCCGCGUGAUUUAGAAGGCCUUCGGGUUGUAAAAAUCUUUUGUAUAGGAAGAAAAUGACAGUACUAUACGAAUAAGGUCCGGCUAAUUACGUG